rnacentral:misc_RNA from 1 species
AACCAUAGAAACCUGCGGAGUACCUGCGGAAGGAUCAUUACACAAUACAAUAUGAAGGCUGUCCGCAGCUGGAGUAUUUUAUUACCCUUGUCUUUUGCGCACUUGUUGUUUCCUGGGCGGGUUCGCUCGCCACCAGGACCACCAAAUAAACCUUUUUUAUGCAGUUGCAAUCAGCGUCAGUACAAACAAUGUAAAUCAUUUACAACUUUCAACAAUGGAUCUCAGAUCGGAAGAGCACAC